UGCUGCAAAACCCUUGUCAGGAACAGCACUAAGUUCACACCAACUCCGAAGAACGCUAGAGUUGCAAGACCUUGAUUCACUGUAUUAUAUUGUGAGAAGCAAAUCAGGGUUGAAUUAAAUUUGAUGUUAAGUAUAAGUUCUUCAUUUUGUGGUGAAUUCAUGAAAGUGAAUUCCCCGAAUAAGGGUGAUUUUCCCUAGGGGUUGGCUUUUCUCAUCACAUUGUUGUCUAUCGAAAAAGCUGAAAGUGCUUUGAGAUGUGAAAAGGCAAGUUAGGCAGACCCAGACUUCAAUUCAGACCCACAGUAUUCUAUUCCAUAGUUAUCUAUGAGGACUAGGAUUCAAAUUUCUCAAGGGUGAGUUUUUGUCAUUGUCUCAAAUGGACUUUCUCUACAAAUCAUUGAAAGUAAUAGUCUACUGACUGCAUGCUAGGUAGCUUGUUAUGUACUCUCUCUACAGAAAGUCCCGUAAAAGUGUCCGAUAGGUGUAAAGUAAAAGAGCACGUCCAUUGUGAAUUUCACUACUGGAUGGCUCUUGGACCCUUGGAUUAAGGAAAAUGCCUUUCCUCUUCGAUAUUUUCCACCUAAAGAAGUCGUGUUUCUUUAAUCUCUUUAUCAACCAGCGUGCAAGAGAUUUUUCUUCGAUGAUAUAGGGGGAAUGUAAAGCUACAUGCUUCAAGUUUUCUUCCUUUCAUCACUUCUAGAAGGAUAUUUGUGACGUCAGUAUUUCAUAUGAGCUUUAAGUUCAAACAAUUCAGCCAUGGAUCCUAGUUUCUGUACUUGAAAAAAAGAAAAAAUAAAGGGAAAAAAUUCCUGAUUUUGCUAUCCCUCUACUGGCUUCUCAUAAAAAAAGUGCACAACUUUUUUUACUAUUUCUUUAAUACGAUAUAUUUUGAAGUCCUUAUCUGUAAUAUUUUCAAAAGUGACUGGUAGAGAGGGGGGAAACAAACAAAGGAGAAAUAGAAAAAGGUUGUGGAUGAGGACACUCCAUACGGAUCGGACAUAAUUCAUCUAGGUAAUUGAAACAACACGUGGAAUAUCCACGUCAUGCCAUGUCAAAAAUAGUUGAUGAGUACGUGUCAGACACGUCUCAGGUUAAUGCAUGUCUCUCUCCCUCAGCGAGUGAAUGAGGUAAGAUAGCAUAGUUCUUAAGAAAUCUCUCUUUCUUUCUCUCACUAUUUACGGGUUCUCGUCUCUCUCUCGCUCUCUCUCUCUCUCUCUCUCGUCGUCCAGUCCCAUGGAGUCUUUGAGGCAACAUAACAAAGUCCUUAAGAAAUAUCUUUCUCAUCAUUUAUAGGUGGAGGAGAGAGUAGCAUGCAAGGAGGCUACAACACUUGGCUCAUUGUAUAGUGCCAAAUGUAAAGCAACAAGGCCAUUCCUAUUUCUUUCUCAUUUUCUCAUCCUUUUCUGUAUCAAGAAAAUCAGGUGAGAAGCUCUUUCACAUCUCUAGUAUGUACUCCCACUUAUCUUUUUCAAAUCCAAACAAAAACUUAACAAACAUUUCUCUCCCCUCUAACGUACUCACCCACACCAACCAAAACUUCUCGAUUUUUCUAAAACCACUUCCCACAUAUAACCUUGUAGACUUAUAUGCUAUUUCCCCUGCACCUUCUUCUUCUUCUUCUCUCUCAUAAGCUAAUAAAAAAAAAACAAGUCAGAAAUAGAAUCUUGGUUUUGAAGUGCUCAAUGUGGAAAAUUUACUACAAAAGUUUCUACUCCAAGAAGAAUGAAAUAACAAAUAACUAAGCUGACUGAAUCUUACGAAUUUGCUAGCAGCAACAUUUGAUAAUUUGCCCCGGAAAAAGAAAAAAAGAACUAAGUUGAUUGAGACUAGGUCACUUUUUAUUUGUGUGAGAGAGAAACAGUUUAAAAGAGAGAUGAUUUGGGGCCUUACAGAGUAUAAUGAUUCCAGCAACCCAUCCUCCAGAUUUUGAUCUGAUAGCAGGUUGGCCAUGCCAAUCAAUAGUCCCAUCAAGAGUACAAACUUCUCUCUCUUCUUUUGUCUCCCCACCCUGCAAAUUCUGAUCCCAAAAAACAAAAUACACUGUCAAAUGUGCUUCUUCAUCUUCUUCCAUCAUCUUCUUCCAUCAUCUUCUUCUUCUUCAUAUUUAAAACUCAAAAGAAAGAUAUAUAGGAAAAAGAAGUUUAUUUCAUUUGGUACAAACCUCAUUGCAAAUCUCCAAGCAAUUAGCCAUUGAUGAAUAUGAUGUUUGAAGUGUUUAGGAUAGAGAGCAAAGCAGAGAGAUGGGGGGAAGUUGGUGAAGUAAUGCUGAUGAUAGUUGCAGAAGAAAGACACAAGUCUUGAGACUCUAAACAAAAUCGGAAGUGUGUAUAAAUAGAGAAGGGAAGAAUGAGUUGAACGGUAGGGAUUUAGAGAGAGAAAUGUGGGGUCACCCCAAAUUGUCCAAAACUCUUUUUUUCCUCCUCAUUUUUUUCUUUUUACAGUAUUCAUCACACUCUUUGGGAUGUAGGAUAUGGACUUUAAAUUUAAUUCUAUUUCUUUGGCCUCUUAAGGUUUUCAAAAUAAACCAACAAAUAGUAAAGUGAUUUGUGUUUGUAUCUGAAAUGUUAAAAGUUAGGCUUCUUUGCUUUUACAAGUUAAUUAUUUUCUGAUAAUUUGUAGUAAAUCAAUAAGUGGUUCUCUUUAUUUUGUCCUUAAAUGGUUUUUUUUUUUUUAAUUUUGUUAAAAAGAGAGAUAUGAUGACAUAGAUUCUUUUGAUUAGUCUUGUUUUUAAUUAAUGAGGUUCUUGUAAUAUCCACUUUGCCUCACUUAGUGCAUAUAUUUUUGACAUCGACACCAUAGAGAAAUUUAAGUCAUUAUUAUUAUUUGUUGAGUUGGCUGCCAUGUGCCACGUUUUCAUUAGCCAUACUCAUUUAACAUUUUUCAUUUCUUUUUCUACACAUCUAAUUGUUUGUAACAUUUACUUUUUAGCUAUGUUGGCUGCAGUCACUUAUAAUUGCUUAGGAUAGAUGAUCAAGUCUCUCAAAAGCUAGCUUAGGAUAGAUAUGAUCAACCUUCUUAAUACCUACAAGCUUGCAAUUGUUUGAAGUUGAAGAGAACACAUGGUCCAAAGACAUCUUGUAGGAUCAACUCGUGAUUACUUCUUUCAAAUUUAUGGUCACAAAUGUAGUAUGCUUAAUGUACUAGAAGUUCUAGAAAUUUUGAUGAACCUCUUCAAAUCUUAUCCUUUAGAAGUUGGAUGAAAGGAAUCGUAACUGACAUGAUCUUUUUUUAGAGGAUGGAAAUUCGACUCGUUGUCCUAUACUCAAAAAAAAAAAAAAAAAAAACUUGAAAUUGAGCUCAUCCCAAACUUAAGUUAUAAACUGAAUAUUUUUUGUCCUAUUUUGCAUUGUACAAUGUUUGAUUAUUCUUUAGGGUAUGUUUCAUUUUGUUCUCAAUUGAGUUAUGAGCUACUUUAGAAGUUCCUUUCACGUUAAGCCCAUGUUUUGGCAAUAAUUUAUGGGAAGUUUUAUCCCAAAAAGAAAAAAAACAAACUCUCAAAUUUUGUAUUUAUUCAUUUGUGUUGAUGAUGUCAAAUUUUUGUAUCUCUUUCAUGUGCUAGACUGUGUUUUCUAUUGUACAACAAUUUAAAUUGGAUCCUCCAUGUUGAAUAACUUAAAAA